CUUUGUGCUAUGGCAGUGCUAAGGUUUCCUUUAGAAAUAUUGUCUUUAUGCUCCUUAAUCCUGUCUACAUUUGUCUAGAUUUUUUUUUGGUAGAUCAUUGCACCUAGAUGUUCUAGUUCAUGCUCUUUAUUUGUGAAGGAGAAAAUCUUCCCCAAAAAUCUCUAUUAUCCUCCUCUUGGCAAGCUGUUUUUCACUGGUCUUUAUUAACCCACAACAAUUUUUCCUUCCUGAUAUCCUUUCUAAUGUGCUUCUCUCAUUUGUACUUUGAUCAUCAUCAUCAUUAUUUCUUAUUUCAUCUACUGCUGGAUAUAUGCCUCUUCCUUUUGUUUCCAGAUGU
rnacentral:lncRNA from 1 species